UACGUAGGGUGCGAGCGUUGUCCGGAAUUAUUGGGCGUAAAGAGCUCGUAGGCGGUCUGUCGCGUCUGCUGUGAAAACCCGAGGCUCAACCUCGGGCCUGCAGUGGGUACGGGCAGACUAGAGUGCGGUAGGGGAGAAUGGAACUCCUGGUGUAGCGGUGGAAUGCGCAGAUAUCAGGAAGAACACCGAUGGCGAAGGCAGUUCUCUGGGCCGUAACUGACGCUGAGGAGCGAAAGCGUGGGGAGCGAACAGG
rnacentral:rRNA from 1 species